UUAAAAAGAUAAUUUUAUAAAUUUAAUUUGAAAAUUAAUUAUUAUUUUAAUUUAAAAUUUAUUUUUUUUUAAUUAAAGUAAUUAUUUUUUAUUAUUAAUUUUUGAAAAAAUUAAUUUUAUUAUAGUUAAUAGUAUUGUGAAAGAAUUAAUUUAUUUAUUUAAAAGAAAAAUUUAAUUUUUGUACCUUGUGUAUCAGGGUUUAUUAAAAUUUUAUUUAAUAUUUAAUAUUCUCGAAUUUAAAAGAGCUAAAAAGUUAUAAUUGUUAUUGUAAAAUAAAUAAAUUAAAUAAAUUUUUAGUAAUGAAAUGUUAUUCGUUUUUAAAUAUAUCUAGUUUUUUAAGAAAUAAAUUUAAUUUAGUUAUUAAUAAUAUAAUAUUUAUUAAUAAAUUUUAUAUUAUUAAUAAUUAAUAUAUUUAGGGAUGAGCUUAAAUAUAAAUUAUUAAUAAAAUUUAAAAUUUUAAAAAAUUUUAGAAUUAGAAAUUUUCAAAAAUUUAAGUAUGUUAUAAUUAAUUUUUAUUUGAUAUUUAAUUUUUAUUUUUUAUAAAUAAUUUAUUAAAAUAUAAUUAUUAAUUUAAUAUAAUUAGAAAUAAUGAUAAAAUUAGUAUAAUUUUAUAUUAAUAUUAAUAUAAUUAUUAGGUUAAUUAAAGGAAUUCGGCAAAUUUAUUUUUCACCUGUUUAUUAAAAACAUGUCCUUUUGAAAAAAAUUUAAGGUCUAACCUGCCCACUGAUAGAUUUAAGGGCCGCGGUAUUUUGACCGUGCUAAGGUAGCAUAAUCAUUAGUUUUUUAAUUGAAAGCUGGAAUGAAGGGUUGAAUGAAAAAAUAACUGUCUUUAAUUAAUUUAAUUAGAAUUUUAUUUUUAAGUUAAAAAGCUUAAAUAAAUUUAAAAGACGAGAAGACCCUAUAGAGUUUAAUAUAAUAAUAUUUUUAAAUUUUAGUAUUUAUUUUUUUAAUUAAUUAUUAUAUUGGAUUGGGGUGAUUAAAAAAUUUAAUUAACUUUUUUUUUAUUGGUAUAUUGAUUAAUAAAUAAAUGAUCCAAUAUUUUUGAUUAUAAGAUUAAAUUACCUUAGGGAUAACAGCGUAAUUUUAUUGGAGAGUUCAAAUCGAUAAUAAAGAUUGCGACCUCGAUGUUGGAUUAAAAUUUAAAUUUGGUGUAGAAGCUAAAUUUUUAAGUCUGUUCGACUUUUAAAAUUUUACAUGAUCUGAGUUUAAACCGGUGUGAGCCAGGUUGGUUUCUAUCUUUAAAUUGUUAAUAUAUUUUAGUACGAAAGGACCAAGUAUA
rnacentral:rRNA from 1 species